AUCUCCGGCCAUGCUACCCUGAACAAGCCCGAUCCUGUCUGACCUCGGAAGCUAAGCAGGGUCGGGGCAGGUUAGUAUUUGGAUGGGAGACCACCUAGGAAGAGCAGGUGCUGUAGAUG
rnacentral:rRNA from 1 species